UUACCCUACAAUAAGGUGACAAUGCCACUAUAGACACUGAACACUAACAAAUAAAUAUCCCAAUGCCAGGACUGAGUUACCUCUUUGAGAGUUGCUGGCCAGUAACUUAAUUGGCCCCCAAACAUAGGCUCUUGCAAUGCUAUUGGUCACCUUCCAGAACUUGAUAAUAAGACUCUAUUGCUGAAAAUACUUUGUCAUAGAAAAUAGAGAAAUGCAGCUGGUACUAACAUGGAAACUUUAUUUCUACUGACGAGUUUUCAUGAUGCUGGAAAGUGGCAUGCACACUUCCAGAGGAGAAAAGUAACCAUCAACAACUGGUGAACUCUGUGAGCUACAGUAACUAACAGCCUAGGAAAACAUUCCUACUGCUGCAAGAGGUAGAUAAAUGUCAUAAUGGUAAUCACCUACUUUUUGAUUGGAUUUUUGUUCUUCUCCACCUACGUAGUUACCAUUGGAGAGACCAAGAACCUUUGGCUAGAUGAGUCAUAGAUCCUAAGAGAGAACCUAGUACUUUUAUUCUGUUAAGUGGAUACAGUAUCGGAUGGACUUCUAAUGAAUUAUGGUUAGAUCCCUAGAUCAAUGCAUCUCUCAACUCUCAUUGAAGAAGCUUCUAUUUGCAGUAGGUGGUGACUAACAUAAAGACUCCUAACUGGUCCAGGUGUAGAGCAAGAGACUACAGACUUCUCAGUCCUAAAUGGGACAUACCUGAGAAGAGGGAACCCCAGAUGAAGAAUUGCUCUAUCAUGUAGGUGUAGGUCUAGCUUUUUAUGGAACUUCCACACUCAUUUCCUUAUUAGCUUCAGUAAUUUGCACUUCCACCAGUAGAGAAUACGUGUUCCUCUUCCUCCACAUCUGGAUCAGCAUCCAUGCCUUGAGGCAUUUUCUUAACUGUUAAUUGGUAUAGAAGGGCCCAGCCCACUGUGGGUUGUACCAUCCCUGGGUAGGUGGGUUUGGCAUGUAAAAGUAAGUAGAUGAGCAAGCCAGAGGGAGCAAGCCAGUAAGCAGCAUUCCUGCACAGACUAUUUCAGUUCCUGCCCUGAGCUCCUGCCCUUGCAUCUCUCUGUGAUGAUUGUUAACUUCACGUCCUAAUUUGUGCCUUCACUUUCUACUGCUUUCAGCAGUCCGCCCUGUUUGGCAUUUGGGCCAGGCUAAUUCUUCACUGGGGUGGAAUACACCGUGUGCAUUCGGGUAUACCUUAUAAAGUGAUGUUGGUGUGUACCUGUUGUUAAUGGCAGGACUUUAGGUGUGGUAGUAUUGUGUUCCCCAAAAUAUCAUGUACCCUAAUAAACUUCUCUGGGGUCAGAGAACAGAAAAGCCACUAGAUACUUAGGAUAGGCAGUGGUAGCACACGCCUUUAAUCCUAGCAUUCCAGAGGCAGAAAUCCAUCUGCUCAAGGAUACAGCCAAGCAUGGUGACUCACGCCUUUAAUCCCAGAAAGCAAGCCUUUAAUCCCAGGGAGUGGUGGUAGAAAGCAGAAAGGUAUAUAAGGCAUGAGGACCAGAAACUAGAAGCAUUUGGCUAGUUAAGCAUUGGACUGGUUAAGCUUUCAGGCUUCUAGCAGCAGUUAAGCUGAGACCCAUUCUGGAUGAGGACUCAGAGGCCUCUAGUCUGAGGAAACAAGACCAGCUGAGAAGUUGGCCAGGUGAGGUUAGAUGUGGCUUGUUCUGUCUCUCUGAUCUUCCAGUGUUGACCCCAAUAACUGGCCUCAGGUUUGAUUUUAUUAAUAAGACCUGUUAAGAUUUCUGCUACAAAAUACCUUUGCCCUCUACUCACUAGCACUCUUCCCCUUAGUCACGACAAUCAAAAAUGUCUUUAGACUAUGAGAAAUAUUCCUAGGUUAAAUUAUGUCCGUGUUUCUCCUACCUGACCAAUGAAUGAUAAGGCCAUAUGGUUCACAAAAUCAUUACUGGAAAGAAUAAGUAAUCACCACCAGGCUAUUGAUUGUGUCAUGUAUAGUCCUAAAGAAAGCAUCGGAGACAACCAGCUGAAGUUUUGCUAAUUGUGCUAAAAUCAUGCCUAUUGAUGGUGAGUAUACAUGUGAGACACUAUGUCUCUGAGGGAAGAAAAGUGCUAAAUUUAUCUAGGGCUUGGGGAAAUACAAUAUUCCAGAAAUAGAAGAUUCCCGAAGCUCUGUUCUUACCGUGGACUGUGUGGCUGCUUUUAGAGAGGUGAGGUUACUGUGGUGAAUUUGUACUAAUCAUUCAGAACUGCUUUGCAAUGAUUUUUUCUGGGUUGCUAGUCCAAUCUAAAGAAUAACCAGUUAUUUCCAAGCAGCGAAUGAAAACAAAAAUUUUAACAGUAUUAUGUCCUAAGGUUUAUGAAGAAAAUUCAAAGGACUGAACAAGUAUCUCACUCCACAAUGUUCAUGGCUCUAAAGAUAGUACCUCUGCAGAUGGAGGACAUGCUGCUUCCCACAGUUGCUCCUGCUUGGUUAGUUGCUGUAAGAAAACACCAUCCAAGGAGAUGUUUUAAGGACAGAAAUGUCCAUCUCACAGUUACAGAGGUUGGAGCAUGGGAGAGUGAUGUGCUGGCAAAUUCAGUUCCCUGGAGGAAAACAAACUUCGUGUUCCAGCUCAUUGAUGAAGAGACUUGACUUCCUGUUGAAACAUAAGCUAUGCAUCUCUAGACAAAAGUCAUUGAUAUCCUGCCAGAUUAAUGCACAAUUUCAUGGUUUUCCCAAAGGGACUUUCUACAUAUUUUCAUCAUCACAGAAGCCCUCCUGAGAUGUGGUGAGCUCUGUUUCCCCCACAGAGCUGGUGCGGCAUGUCGUCUGGCAGCAUUUCUGAAUGCUGCCACCCACACAGCUCGAUGCCAAGUUGUUUUCCUCAAUAGACCAAGACUAGUGAUUUAUAGCAACAGUCACAUCCAAGUUCCUUCUGGAAUUGUCAGCUGCAGAUCUUAAUGUUAUGCGUUAUUUUCCUUUCUCUUCAAGCAUUUUAUUUCAAAAUGAACUUAGAUUUCUGAUUUAUAGAGGACUUGAAGGCUUCCUAUCAAGUUAAAAUAUUAUGCUACCAUGGUACAAUUAUUAAAAUUAAGAUAUUAAUACCAGGACACUGUUAUUAACUGAAAUCCAAAUCUGUUUCUUUGAUUGAAUGAGUCAGCAUUCUAUUACUAUAGUGAAAUAUGGUGAUAUUUUAUUUGUACUGAAAUGUGAUUUUAUUUGUAUGUUAAUAAAUAAAGUUGCCCAGGA